rnacentral:rRNA from 1 species
UCCGUAGGCGGGCGAUUAAGUCAGAGGUGAAAUCCCACAGCUCAACUGUGGAACUGCCUUUGAUACUGGUUGUCUUGAGUUACAGUGAAGUAGAUAGAAUAUGUAGUGUAGCGGUGAAAUGCAUAGAUAUUACAUAGAACACCGAUUGCGAAGGCAGUCUACUAACUGUGAACUGACGCUAAGGGACGAAAGCGUGGGGAGCGAACA